UACAGAGGGUGCAAGCGUUGUUCGGAAUUAUUGGGCGUAAAGCGCGUGUAGGCGGCUUUGCAAGUCGGGUGUGAAAGCCCUCAGCUCAACUGAGGAAGUGCGCCCGAAACUGCAGAGCUGGAGUCCUGGAGAGGAAGGCGGAAUUCUCGGUGUAGAGGUGAAAUUCGUAGAUAUCGAGAGGAACACCGGUGGCGAAGGCGGCCUUCUGGACAGUGACUGACGCUGAGACGCGAAAGCGUGGGGAGCAAACAGG
rnacentral:rRNA from 1 species